UAAUUUGAUAUCUGUGACUUGUACUGAAGAAACUAUUACACAUUGAAGCAAGGAAAGAUGAGGAAGUGUGCUGCUGAUGAUGAUGCUGCCGCUGCAUUUGUUGUUGAUAUGGAUGUUGAUGUUGUUGGGACCACGCUCAUGCAGAAGACUGCAUCUUAUUUUUCUCCUUUGUCUAUAUUUCUUUUUCUAAACGUUCCCUUUUCUAGCAGUAUAUAUAGUGUUGUAGACGUUCCUGGUAGCAUUGGCGGAGGAGGCUGCACAUGGAGAGAGUGGUGAGUUUGAAAGGGACUACCCCUGCAACGCUCUUGGAAUGUACGAGGAAACAAAUGAGGCACCGAAUAGCAAAAAAAGGUAACUCACGAACUCUCCGCAUUGCGCUUUGGUGCAUGCUCCUCCCCCACCCUCCUCUUGCUUUCAUUCUCUCGUUCUCUCGCCCUCGCUCUCGCUCUCUCUCUGACUUCUCUCCUACUCGCUUGCUUGCUUCCCCCAUUAGACUCUGCAUCGCCUUUCAUCCUACAUGUGCAUUUUGUUUCCAUUAUUUUAUCCCGUAUAUCAUCAUUCCUUGUUGGCCCGGAGGAGAAGACUUAAGCAUUACACACAAGUUGAGUGAGCAGACCUCAGUUACUUCUCAUGCAUUCUUUGAACUCUUACAUCUCAAUGAUAAUAACAGAG
rnacentral:lncRNA from 1 species